GGCAGCAGUAGGGAAUCUUAGACAAUGGGGGCAACCCUGAUCUAGCCAUGCCGCGUGUGUGAUGAAGGCCCUAGGGUCGUAAAGCACUUUCGCCAGAGAUGAUAAUGACAGUAUCUGGUAAAGAAACCCCGGCUAACUCCGUGCCAGCAGCCGCGGUAAUACGGAGGGGGUUAGCGUUGUUCGGAAUUACUGGGCGUAAAGCGCACGUAGGCGGAUUAGUAAGUUAGAGGUGAAAUCCCAGGGCUCAACCCUGGAACUGCCUUUAAUACUGCUAGUCUUGAGUUCGAGAGAGGUAAGUGGAAUUCCGAGUGUAGAGGUGAAAUUCGUAGAUAUUCGGAGGAACACCAGUGGCGAAGGCGGCUUACUGGCUCGAUACUGACGCUGAGGUGCGAAAGUGUGGGGAGCAAACAGGAUUAGAUACCCUGGUAGUCCACACCGUAAACGAUGAAUGCCAGACGUCAGCAAGUAUACUUGUUGGUGUCACACCUAACGGAUUAAGCAUUCCGCCUGGGGAGUACGGUCGCAAGAUUAAAACUCAAAGGAAUUGACGG
rnacentral:rRNA from 2 species